rnacentral:rRNA from 1 species
GAUGAACGCUGGCGGCGUGCCUAAUACAUGCAAGUCGAGCGAACAGACGAGGAGCUUGCUCCUUUGACGUUAGCGGCGGACGGGUGAGUAACACGUGGGUAACCUACCUAUAAGACUGGGAUAACUUCGGGAAACCGGAGCUAAUACCGGAUAAUAUUUCGAACCGCAUGGUUCGAUAGUGAAAGAUGGCUUUGCUAUCACUUAUAGAUGGACCUGCGCCGUAUUAGCUAGUUGGUAAGGUAACGGCUUACCAAGGCAACGAUACGUAGCCGACCUGAGAGGGUGAUAGGCCACACUGGAACUGAGACACGGUCCAGACUCCUACGGGAGGCAGCAGUAGGGAAUCUUCCGCAAUGGGCGAAAGCCUGACGGAGCAACGCCGCGUGAGUGAUGAAGGUCUUCGGAGCGUAAAACUCUGUUAUUAGGGAAGAACAAACGUGUAAGUAACUGUGCACGUCUUGACGGUACCUAAUCAGAAAGCCACGGCUAACUACGUG